CAACCCGCCCGGGUAGACACCGCGCCACCCGCUCCGGGACGCCGCCCAGCGACAAGGCCGCGGGGUCAGCGUGUCUGUACCGGUGCUGCAACGGGAGGGUCGGGCGGCGACGCUCUCACUGCCGGGCCAGAAGGAGGCCUCCCGGCUCCCUCACGCUAGAAGGGAGCUGGUUACCAGAGGUUUUCAGAGACGCCAAAGUUUUGCCAGCUGAGGAAACUGCAUUCCUGAGACAUACAGCGUUUCAGCUACCACACAGGUUUCGUCUCCUGACAUCCUCCCCAGGCAGUCCCAUCGCUGGGUUUCAGAGGCCAUCAAGCCCAGCAGGCUUCAAAUCCCCCAACAGAGUCCCCCUUACCUGGGGCUGCCUGGGGAACUCCCAUCCCACUUCAACUUGAGCACCUUUGCCUUUGUAUUUUUAUUUAUUUACAUUUCCUGGUAAGAAUUUGUUGCAAGCACAUGAAAGAUUUUGUGGCUGAAGUAAUGUAAAACCAUUGAUCAAACCGGAAAUUGAGACACAGCCAGCGUCACACAACAGGCCAUCUGAAAGGCUGGAAUAGCAUCGAGGGAGUCUCCCUGGAACCAAGCAGCCAAGGCAGGCUAAUGGUGAAGGCCCAGGCACAGUAAUGGUCCCCUGGAGAUGGAGUCCUGCUCUGUCAUCCAUGCUGGAGUGCAGUGGCGUGAUCUCAGCUCACUGCAACCUCCGCCUCCUGGGUUCAAGUGAUUCUCCUGCCUCAGCCUCCCAAGUAGCUGGGAUUACAAGUGUGCACCAUCACACCCUGCUGAUUUUUGUAUUUUUAGUAGAGACAGGGUUUCACCAUGUUGGCCAGGCUGUUCUUGAACUCCUGGCCUAAAGCGAUCCACCCGCCUUGGCCUCCCAAAGUCCUGGGAUUACAGGCGUGAGCCACCGUACCUGACCCCUGUCCCUGAACAUUUGUCACAAUAUAUUAUGAGUGAAUGAGUAAGAACUCUAUUUUAGUGGUCACCUUCUUUGUGCUAGUCAUUAAGUUUAAGGUAUCUCGCUUAAUAUUCUCCAGAACCCUGUGAGAUAGGCAUUAUUUUAUUCUCAUGUGACAUGUAGAGAAACAGGUUCAGAAAGGGGAAGCGAAAGUCCAAAGCAGUGAAUCUGCGGUGGGUCUCCUGGCCCCAGAAUUGCAGCCUGAUGGGAAGGAAGGCCCUGCUGAGUUCCCAGAGUUAUGGCUGGGUCAUGGCAUUGGGACCCACACUGGCAGCUCCAGUUACACAGGGCUGGGCUGGCUCUAGCAGCCUUGUCUUACUUGCUCCCUGAACUGCUGCAUUGACCUGCACCAUCCUCCCUUCCCUUGCCAGCCGAGAACUGUGCUCCUCAGGUUUCCUGGGCAGGGUCCAGGGCUCUGAUGCCAAACGCAGCCUGGAAACUCUAGCUCUCAGCAUGCCAGGAUGCGGGCACCCAAGUGAGGCCGCCUGGGAUGCAGGAAGCUUAGUCCAGGCCUGGGCAUGCCUCUGUUCCAUCUCCCCUCAAGCAGGACCAGCUACUUAAUCUGCGGGACCCAGAGCAGAAUGAAAAUGUGGGCCCCUCAUUCAAAAAUUUAAAAUUUCCAACAAAAGAAUGAAAAAAUAAGAAAAAAUUAAGAAUUUCAAGAUGGUGAUAGCAGAGUAUUUAACACUUCAAAUCAUGACCCUUACUGUCCAGGUCACAUGCCCACAAAGUCAGCCCUGUCGUCAGGCCUUGGUUUCCUUGUCUGUCAAGUGGGAGAAUGGUAGCCACUGGCCAAAAGGGUGAGGGUGAGAAUGAGGUGGGAGCUGGUGGUAAGAGGUCCAGUGAACAGCAUGAGGAUGAGGUAAGAGUCUCCAAGUUCAUGAUUUGUUAUCUGGGUCUCAGCACCGGGUGGCAGGCCAAACUCCUUGCCAGGAGUUUGAUUGCUUACAACAGCUCUUUUUCACAGAACCAAAAAACUAAAAAUCCAUGAAGCAAAGUAACUUGCUCAGGGUCACACAGAGACUCAGUGGGGGAAGCCAAGAUCAGAGUUCUGGCCUGGCUCUCUUCGAAGCUGGUGCUUUUUGUGACCCAGGCAGGAGAGAGAGAAGCGCAGGAGGGAGGUGGGAUGGGGACAGGCUGCUCAGGACAAAGAGGGCCACUGUGCAGACACAAAGACCUGACCACAGAGGCCCCUCUGGGGGCUGGGACAGACAAAUGGAUGGAGCCCUGUGACUCUAUCUGUGGUGACUGGGGUAGCUGCCAGGAGCUGCCUCCUAGACCCUACCUGGUUGUGAUGAGGGUUGGGGAGGGUGUUGGUGUGCAGGAACCAGGAAAUGGGUCAGGGAGGAGAAACAAACUCAGAGAUGGGCCCCUUCCCCACUCCCCAGGCCUCUGACCCCAUCUCCCCCUAGCUCCUCCUGGGCAGCCUGCCAGCUUAUGGAAUCUCCCACAAACCAUCCACCGCCCCACAUUCCUCCUUCUCAGUGAGGGUGAGGCUCAGGCAACUCACUGUCUGGCAGUCCCAGCCUCACAAUACUUCUGACCCUUCCCCAUCACCAGUGGCAGGAUGAAGCAUAUGCCCUCGGCGCAGUGUCCUUCAGGGCCCUGUGUGACCUGCCCUGCUGACCUUUCUUCACUCACCUGUCCCCACUCCUCCUCAGCCUUCUACGCUGCAGUCACAUGGAACGUCCCACCAUUCUCCAAACACUCUGUCCUUUCAUACACACACCCCCAUGUUGGCUCAUGCUUUUCCUUCUUCCUGGGGGGCUGUUUCCCCUGCUCCAGUAGACUGAAAUCCCAUUUCUCCUCCAUGAACCAGCUCAAAUGCCACCUCCAGUAGCCAGCUUUCCUCCAUGCCCACAGUUGGGUUUAGCUUCGCUCAUUAACCUGUUAAUCUACACAUGUUGGGUUCACCCACUCUAGCGGUGCUCCUCCCACGCUGGCUUGUGUUGUAGUUGUUCCAAUCCACAAAGCCUACCUGGAAGAGGGGACCUUUGAGCUGAGCCUUACAGGACAGGUGGACUUCACUAGUGAAUGUCAGUGGUAAGAAGUGACAGGAGCUCAAAGAAUCAGGGAUAUCAGCCCUAUCUCCAAAAUUUUAUCUGCAUCAGCCAGGUUGCUGAGUUCAAAUAGCAAGGAGUCUAUAGUUCAGAAUGGCAGGAGUUGAGUGUGCAGGGACACUGUCAAGGGAUAAAGUUAAGAGGUUCACCAGGGCCAAGCCACGAAGGGUUUUAUAAUGCCAUACUAAGGAAUUUUUUUGCUUGCUUGUUUAAAACACAUUUGAAUUUAUUUCUCAGCUCUAUAGUUUACUAAGUAAUUAAGUUCUGGCUUUUAUCUUUACUAUUUUCUCCCUCUUAAUUACCUUGGGUAGCUUUUCUGUUCUUUUUCUACAAGCUUAUUAAAGUGAAUACUUAGGCUGGGUGCGGUGGCUCAUGCCUGUAAUCCUAGCACUUUGGGAGGCCGAGGUGGGUGGAUCACUUGAGGCCAGGAGUUUGACUGGCCUGGCCAACAUGAUGAAACCCCGUCCCUACUAAAAAUACAAAAAUUAGCCGGUCAUGGUGGCACACGCUUGUAAUUCCAGCUACUCGGGAGGCUGAGGCGUGAAAAUCACUUGAACCCAGGAGUUGGAGGUUGCAGUGAGCCAAGAUCAUGCCGCUGUACUCCAGCCUGAGUGACAGAGCAAGACUCUGUCUCAAAAUAAAUAAAUAAAUAAAUAAAUAAAUGUGAAUACCUAUUUUGUUGUCAUUCUUUUUCAAUAAUGUAAGCAUUUUUAAGGCUAUCAUUUCCCUCUGAAUUCAGCU
rnacentral:lncRNA from 10 species